AGGUAGCCGCGUUUGCAGACUUCCUCCCCGACGGGCAGGUCCUCCUCUUCGGACUCGGAGUCUGACCGGGAGCCAGUGGCCGUGGAGAGCCACAUGGCUCCCGGACAAGACGACCCGGUCCCAAUGAGUGCGGUCGGGGUUCCCGAGGAAAGAAGCGGGGUGGUCACCACUGCUGCUAGAGCUGCCGCUGCCGCCGCUGCUGCACCUCUUAGUCUUCUUGUCGCUUGGUCGCGAGUGAAGGAGCAACUCGCCAUGGUGAUGCACGAUGGUUUUAAGGCACUCCCGAGCCCGCUGCACCCCUGACAGAAGCCCGCGACUCUGAGGCACACGAAUAACAGCGAUGCAUUCAAAAUGAACAUGAUCUUUAUUAAUCAGAAUGCACUUCUAGCCCACGAAACACAGGUUCCCUAAAUACAGUGUUUCUGCCUAUUUGAUUAACGAUGACUAUGAAAGCACAAAUUUGGGGGCCUGCAAUGUAUACAGCCAUAUUGGAAAAAAUUGGACUCGAUUCUUACUGAAAUAACCAGUGUUGGGCUGUGAAGGUAUUUUUCUGUGGGAAAUGCUUUGGAAGGUGCCUUUAAAAGAAUCUCAAAAUAUUGCUUUCCUUUCCUUGAGCGAGACCGAAAAACUUUAGAAAAAGAAAAGCUCAUACCUAGAACAAAGGACCACGCUGAAUGCAUAUUCUAGAGCACAUUUCACAUCCCUCGCGUCAACAAGAAGAAGAAGAGGAGCUUUGAUGCAUUUCAGUCUACAAGUUGACAUCACAAAAGUAAGAACUACUGCCUCCCUCAUUUCUGGAAAAACUGCCGGAGUGUGCUGGAAGCAGCCGUGGUUUCGGAAGGGAGCUAGAGGCAGAACGAGUGUGGAUGCUGAGAGAUCCCUGACUGUGACUGCUACAUAUUUCAGCUGCGUAGUCACAUAUAUACAAGAUUCCCUGCACUUACAACCAAAAUGAUAACAAAUGCUCUCAUUUGGGAUUUUGUUUGAUAGUCAUUAGGAUAUUUUAUAAGUCUUUCCAAGCACAAGGUUUUUUUCUUUUUUUUUUUAAAGAGAAAUGUGACAAAUAAGGCAACAUAUUUGAAAGUGCUUUGAGUAAUAACAUGACAUUGAAAAUAUCAAAAUGAAUAUUAAAUGAAAUGGGAAAAUACUGGAGAUUUUUAAAUCCUCAUGUCCUUUUUCCUGUACAUAUAGUUUUUACAUAGAGCAGUAGGCUUACAAUUUAUAUAAUUUUGCAUCCUGUUCUUUUCACUGAACAUUAUACAAUAUUUCCCCAUAUUAUUAUGCAUCAGCAUAAAUAUCAUUUAAAAUACAACAUAUUAUCCAACACAAUCGAUGAAUAUUAAUGUAAUUAAUCAUCUGCUUUGGGGCAUUUAGGUUGUUUUCAUUUUUUUCAGUAUUAUAAAUAACAUGUCAAUGAAUAUCUUCUACCUACAGCCUUUUAAAAUUCCCAUUGGGUAAAAACUGAGCACUGGAAUUAGUAGGCUAAAAGAUAUGAAUAUUUAAUACAUUAUUUUUCAAAAAUAUUAUAUUAGUUUACCCUGUCACCAGACUGAUUGUCAGCAUUGGACAUUCUUAUUUUUAAAAAAUUAGAGAUAAGAUGGGUGAAAC
ensembl:lncRNA IRS4-AS1 IRS4 antisense RNA 1